CCCUUAGAUGUUCGGGGCCGCACGCGCGCUACACUGAAGGAAUCAGCACGUCUUUCUCCUUGUCCGAAAGGACUGGGUAGCCCGCUGAACCUCCUUCGUGCUAGGGAUUGGGGCUUGUAAUUCUUCCCCAUGAACGAGGAAUUCCCAGUAAGCGCGAGUCAUAAGCUCGCGUUGAUUACGUCCCUGCCCUUUGUACACACCGCCCGUCGCUACUACCGAUUGGAUGGUUUAGUGAGAUCCUCGGAUUGGUCCCGGAGCGGCCUCUGGUCGUGCCGGAGUGCCGAAAAGAAUGUCGAACUUGAUCAUCUAGAGGAAGUAAAAGUCGUAACA
rnacentral:rRNA from 1 species